rfam:Glycine soja cultivar W05 scaffold5_61, whole genome shotgun sequence.
CUCAUGGAAAGUUCAACCCUGGUUCAAGAUGAAUGCUGGCAGUAUGCCUUACACAUGCAAGUCAGACAGGAAGUGGCGUUUCCAGUGGCAGACGGGUGAGUAACACGAAAGAACAUACCCUGGGGGGGGGGGGACAACAACUAGAAAUGACUAGUAAUACCUCGUAGGCUAAGGAGCAAAAUGAGGAAUCCGCCCGAGGAGAGACUCAUGUUUCAUUAGCUAGUUGGUGAGGCAAUAACUUACCAAGGCGAUGAUUAGUAGUUGGUCUAAGAGGAUGAUCAACCACACUGGGAUUGAGACAUAACCCAAACUCUUACGGGAGGCAGCAGUGAUGAAUUUUCCACAAUGGGCGAAAUCCUGACGUAGCAAUGCCACGUGAAGGUAGAAGGCCUACGAGUCAUGAACUUUUUUUUUCUCGGAGAAGAAGCAAUAACAAUAUCCGAGGAAUAAGCAUCAACUAACUUUGUGCUAGUAGUCGCAGUAAGUCAGAGAAUGCAAGCAUUAUUUGAAAUGAUUGUGCGUAAAGUGUAUGUAGGUGGCUUUUUAAGUUCGUCAUCAAAUCCAGGGCUCAACCCUGGAUAGAUGAUGGAACCUACCAAGCUGGAGUACAAUAGAGGUAGAGGGAAUUUCCAGUGGAGCAGUGAAAUACGUAGAGAUUGGAAAGAACACCAACGACAAAAGCACUCUGCUAGGUCGAAACUGACAUUGAGAGACGAAAGCUAGGGGAGCGAAUGGGAUUAGAUACCCCAAUAGUCCUAACUGUAAACGAUGGAUACUAGGUGUUGUGCUUAUCAACCCGUGCAAUGAAUGAAACUUAAAGGAAUUCAAUGCAAAGUGAAGAACUUUACCAAGGAUUGACGUGUCAUGAAUCCUCUUCAAAGAGAAUGGUGCCUUUGGGAACACAGACACAAGUGGUUGAUAUCUGUCAUUAGCUCGUGUUGUAAGGUGUUAGGUUAAACCCACAACAAGUGCAACCCUCGUGUUUAGUUGCCAACAUUUAGUUUGGAACCCUGAGUAGAGUGUCGAUGAUAAGCCAAGGGAAGGUGAGGAUGGCGUCAAUUCAUCAUGCCCCUUAUGCCCUGGGCGACACAUGUGCUACAAUGACAGAACAAAGGAUCGCGAUCCCACGAGGGUGAGCUAACUCCAAAAAUUUGUCCUUAGUUUGGAUUGUAGGCUACAACUCACCUGCAUGAAGCUGGAAUCGCUCGUAAUCACCAGUCAGCCAUACGACGGUGAAUUCAUUCUCCAGCCUUGUACACACCACUCGUCACACUAUGGGAGUUGCCCAUGCCAGAAUUCGUUACCUUAACCACAAGGAGGGGGAUCUGAAAGGCAAGGCUAGUGACUGGAGUGAAGUCGUAACAAGGUAGUCGUAUUGGAAGGUGCAGCUGGAUCACCUCCUUU